rnacentral:rRNA from 1 species
GACGAACGCUGGCGGCGUGCUUAACACAUGCAAGUCGAACGGAAAGGCCCUGCUUUUGUGGGGUGCUCGAGUGGCGAACGGGUGAGUAACCCGUGAGUAACCUGCCCUUGACUUUGGGAUAACUUCAGGGAACUGGAGCUAAUACCCGAUAGGAGCUCCUGCUGCAUGGUGGGGGUUGGAACGUUUCGGCGGUUGGGGAUGGACUCGCGGCUUAUCAGCUUGUUGGUGGGGUAGUGGCUUACCAAGGCAUUGACGGGUAGCCGGCCUGAGAGGUUGACCGGCGACAUUGGGACUGAGAGACGGCGCAGACGCCUACGGGAGGCAGCAGGGGGGAAUAUGGCACAGCGGGGGGAAGCCUGAGGCAGCAACGCUGGGGGCGGGAUGAGGGCCUUCGGGUAGUAAACCGCUUUCGCCUGUGACGAAGCGUGAGUGACGGUAAUGGGUAAAGAAGCACCGGCUAACUACGUG